CGACUCACACACGCUUUCUUGUUAGAUCUGCUGCUAUUUGAGCUUGGAAAUGCCGGAAACCUGCUGUGCUGUUGGAUGUAGCAAUAGACGAGGCAAUAAACCAAAUCUUAGCUUCUAUAGAUUCCCGGCAAACAUCGAAAAACGCGAUAAAUGGAUCGCGGCGAUUUGUCGUGAACGAUGGAAACCUACGAUUUACACAAGGAUAUGCAAUGAACACUUCAUAUCAGACGCCUCACAACGUUUGGGUUUCCCUUUAACAACAACAACUGUGAGGAACCCGCGGUUGUGACACCAGGAUGCAGGAAACAGGAGAACGACGUGCAGGUUAUCAAGUGACCAAAGAUGAUGCGCUAGCUGCUCAAAGUCAGGACCCGGGGUGGACCACUCAUCUGUGCAUCAGUUAGGGACGUCUCUGCGCUGCUGACUUGUCUCCAUUCAAGAUUAUCCCCUGCUGGCCCCACUAUGGACUGGACUCUCACAUUAUUAACUAG